rnacentral:rRNA from 1 species
AUUGAACGCUGGCGGCAGGCCUAACACAUGCAAGUCGAACGAGUGGCGGACGGGUGAGUAAUGUCUGGGAAACUGCCCGAUGGAGGGGGAUAACUACUGGAAACGGUAGCUAAUACCGCAUACCAUCGGAUGUGCCCAGAUGGGAUUAGCUAGUAGGUGGGGUAACGGCUCACCUAGGCGACGAUCCCUAGCUGGUCUGAGAGGAGGACACGCCACCAUGGAAACUAGACACGGGCCAGACUCCUACGUGAGGCAGCAGUGGGGAAGAUUGCACAAUGGGGGCAAGCCUGAUGCAGCCAUGCCGCGUGGAUGAAGAAGGCCUUCGGGUUGUAAAGUACUUUCAGCGGGGAGGCGUUACCCGCAGAAGAAGCACCGGCUAACUCCGUGCCAGCAGCCGCGGUAAUAC